rnacentral:misc_RNA from 1 species
AAAAAAUCACGCGAUGAGAAUGAACAAGCAGCUGAUGCUGAAAAGAAGAAACUGGAGAAGGAAGCUUUGAAGGAACAAGUGGCUGCUAGUUCUUCUGGGAAGAAAGGAGUUGGUGACUCUGAUAGAGUAAAACUGAAUUUUUUAAAUCAGUUACAUGCUGUGUGAAUCAGUUCAAAUCGUCCGAAGCUUAUACUACUCCAUGAACUGCCAGAAUCAGUCAAAAACUUUUUUUGAUGAUAGCAGCAGAGCCUAAGAAGGCUCUUUUGAUAUGCCACUGUACGAUUUAAGUUUUAUAGUUAGUUAUAUCUGUACAUAAUUUCCAUAGUUAAGUCGGCAUUAUUUUUUUGCCAUUUUAGAAUCGCGCACAAUUGCCAUUGUUACUACAUUUUUGUAUCUGAAUGUGGUAAAAACUGAGACCUCAAGCAUUGAAAGGGUUUCCAAG